GAUCGGUGAGCGUCCUCUUCAAACCCCUCUCUCUCUCUCUCUCUCUCUGGGGCGAGGGAUGGCUUGGUGGGAUCGGGUAACAUCGCCGAUGAGGAGGGUCUGGGCAGGCGUCGCCAUCCGCCUCGGGAUCAGCAAAUCCGGGCUGACGCGGCUGAGGGAGGAGGUGAGUACGUGCGAGUACGAGGACGUGCACGUCUUGUGGGAGUUGCUGACGGAGUCGGGGGGGCGGGGCGGACCGCUCCGGGUGGCAGCACCGAGGCGGACGCGCCGGCGGGACGGGUCGCACGUGUGGGAGUGGGCCGGCCUCUGCUUCUGCCGCAGGUUCUAAGGGCGUCGCACGCGUGGCGACCUUCUCGGUGGCUGUUGUAAAUAGCAAAUGUUAGGGCUUGCUGAGCAAAAGACCACUCUCUGUAUAAAUGGCCGGCCUUAAGAUACGUGUUAUGUGCAUUGGUAAGGUAUCAUGAUGCUGAUAUUAGCUCAUAUCAGUUGCCAAUCAAUCAUAUUUUUGUAUCGAUUAGUGGAUGGUCACUAUGUAUGUUUUCGUAUCUCGUCUUUUCCCUGCCGAGGCCAGCCAACUAUAUAAUUUGUAAUUUAUGUUCUGGAAAGAUGCUUUUGUAAUUUCUUUGGAGUA